GAUGCCAGGGCAAAAAGGGCGGAAAUCCGGCGCAGGCUUGCCUGCAGGAGGAUUUUUGAACCUGGGACCUGCUAAAAACAUGAGUAAGAAGCCAUUAUUUGAAGAAAAAAUAAGGGGAUUAGGAAUGUUUUUAGAAUUGCGGGAGUGCAAAGCACGGAGCAAUUCGGUAU
rnacentral:sRNA from 1 species